UGGGGAUUGAGGUUGGGGUCAACAUAACUUCUUACAUGCAAGCAUAUACAAUUCAUAAUUUCACCAAUAUGUACUAUACUAUUGCUUUUGUUUCAUUUUAUCUGAGUUUAGGGUUUAUAUUUGUAUUUAAAAUUUAUAUUUAGGUUUAUAAUUUAGUGAUUAGGGUUUAGGGUUUAGUAUUUGGAAGUGGGAGUUGAGAUUGGGGACAUCAUUAAUUUUUUACAUUCAAGUUUAGACAUUUCAUAAUUUCGUAAAUAGGUACUAUACUAUUUAUUUUAUUUCAUUCUAUUUAGGUUUAGAGUUUAUAUUUGGAUUUAUGAUUUAUAUUUUGGUUUUGGCUUUAGUGAAUAGGGUCUACGAUUUAGUAUUUAGGGUUAUGAUUUAAAUUUGGGUUUACGGUUUACUGAUUUUGGGUUUAGGGUUUAGUAAUUGGAAGGUGGGGGUUGAGGUUGGGGUCAACAUAACUUCUUUCAUGCAAGCAUAUAUAUUUCAUAAUUUCACCAAUAUGUAUUAUACUAUUGAUUUUGUUCUAUUAUAUCUGAGUUUAUGGUUUAUAUUUGUAUUUAAGAUUUAUACUUGGGUUUAGGAUUUAGUGUUUAGGGUUUAGUGUUUAGUAUUUAGUAUUUAGUAUUUGGAAGGUGGGAGUUGAAACUGGGACCAUCAUUAACUUCUUACAUACAAUCCUAAACAUUUCAUAAUUUUUGUAAAUAUGUAAUAUAGUACUAUUUACUUUAUUUCAUUAUGUUUGGGUUUAGAGUUUAUAUUUAGAUUUAGGAUUUAUAUUUUGAUUUUGGCUUUAGUGAAUAACAUUUAGGAUUUAGUAUUUAGGGGUUGUGGAUGUGAUUGUGAUAGGCUUUAAUAUCUAGAGUAGAGAUGGAAUUGGUGUUCUGUAUCAUUUUGUUAAUAUGAAGUAAAUGGAAUACCAUUUAUUGCAGGAGUGUUUUAUUUUUGUCCACUUAUUUAUUGAACACAGUGAAAGUGAAACGUAUGCGGUUAUUUAAUACAUGACGUGGAAUGUGUAUCUUCCCUUUUAAGAUAGUUCAGAGUAAAUAAUGACCAUACAUGUUGUUGUCAAUAUCAUCUCACCAUCUCUCCUUUACCGGUUACUUGUAAGUUCAAGGGGUUAAAACCGGCUCAGAUUAAACUUAAUUAUUAGAUACUUGAUUCUGUCAAAAUCAAUGCUCUACACUUAAUUUUCAUUCCAAACUUAGUCAUUUCACAAAUUCAUUCUUUAUUUAUUUAUGCAUUUCUUUCUCUUGACAUUUUGAAGAAAAAAAAACUAUCUACAGACGAGUGAUAACCGCGGGUUAAUUCUCACCAUAUUUUUUUUGCACGCAUCAUUCUCACCAUCUUAAAAUUUAUCUAGUGCGCCGAGAAAUGUUACACGGCUCGGAUAGGGUUUUCCAUGCAAUGGUUUGUUGGGGAAAAUUAAUAGAAAUAGAAAUGUAAUUUACAUAUUUUGGUGAUUCGAUUUUAAAUUUAUUAAUUGACAAAAAGUUACACACAAAGUAAGAAUCAUAUAAGAAAAAGGAGUCCAAUGUCAGGUAAUGUAUCCUCGCUUUGCAAACCAACGUUGUAGUAAUCCAUCCAG
rnacentral:lncRNA from 1 species